CAGACCGUCCAAAGGUGGCGUUUUCAGUUGGUCUUUCUGACGCGGGAAAUAUUGGACCCUUCAAUACUGACACCACACUUAAGUUCAGUAAAGUCUUCACCAAUAUCGGCCAGGCCUACAACCCAACUACAGGUAUCUUCACAGCCCCAGCCAGAGGAGCCUACUACUUCAGAUUCAAUGGGUGGGGUGUAUUAACUUCAACUUAUAUAAGUGUUUAUCUGUAUCACAAUGACAAGAUAAUAACUAGAGGUUACGAUGCAAAUGAUGCCGGAGGUUAUGUCUCUUUGUCUAAUGCAUUUGUUCUUCAACUGGAAAAGGGAGAUGUGGUCUACAUGGUUCAGAUCUCAGGCUAUCAUAUUUUUGAUGAUACGUAUAAUCGUACCACUUUCAGUGGAUUUCAGCUUUUUGCUCUGUGAAGUCAUCUGUAAAACACCCAGUCCAUUUUUAUUAAGUUUCAACAUCACACUAUUAAAAAUAUGUGUGCUAAAUAAAUCAAGAUAACUGCU